rnacentral:rRNA from 1 species
CCUGGCUCAGGACGAACGCUGGCGGCGUGCCUAAUACAUGCAAGUCGAGCGGACCAAAGGGAGCUUGCUCCUGGAGGUUAGCGGCGAACGGGUGAGUAACACGUGGGCAACCUGCCUGUAAGACUGGGAUAACAUCGAGAAAUCGGUGCUAAUACCGGAUAAUAAAAAGAACCGCAUGGUUCUUUUUUGAAAGAUGGUUUCGGCUAUCACUUACAGAUGGGCCCGCGGCGCAUUAGCUAGUUGGUGAGGUAACGGCUCACCAAGGCAACGAUGCGUAGCCGACCUGAGAGGGUGAUCGGCCACACUGGGACUGAGACACGGCCCAGACUCCUACGGGAGGCAGCAGUAGGGAAUCUUCCGCAAUGGACGAAAGUCUGACGGAGCAACGCCGCGUGAGUGAUGAAGGUUUUCGGAUCGUAAAACUCUGUUGUUAGGGAAGAACAAGUGCCGUUCGAAAGGGCGGCACCUUGACGGUACCUAACGAGAAAGCCACGGCUAACUACGUG